AUAAGAGUUUGCUUCUUCUCCCUGAUCCCUUCGGAAGAUGGAUUUCGAAGGAUAAUCAAACUCUGGCAAGGGGUCUAUAAAACCCCCUCCUCCCUCUAAUCAUCUUACCCCCUCUAAAUCCUGAUCAACAUCGGUGGGAAUCCGAUGAAGAGUUUUCGACUUUGUCCAUCCAUAUCUCUUAAUUAGUGAGCCACCAUUGAAUAUCUCAUCGAAGACGAGGUAAAGGGCCCUCCCUUUCUUGGUCCCUCAACCAUUGUUAAUGGGUUCAGUCAUCUGAUUGCUGCGG
rnacentral:lncRNA from 1 species